CCGUGAUAGUAAAGGAUGUUUUAGCCUUUUAGGCUUUUGUCCAGGCACAAAGAUGAACCCAUCAAAUUUUAGGGCCAUAGGAAAAAAAAUGUUUCAAUUUGGUCUUAUAAAAUUCUCAAAACAAAAACCCAUCAAGGCUUUGGGCAUUUGCAGUUUUCUUUUUCUUUUUUUCUCCAAUGACAGUACUUUGGUCAUCUUCUUCAAUUUCACCACCACUUCCCUCCCUUCAACCUCCAAUACCCUCCACAAUCACCUCAAAAUGCUCAAUCUCCAAUCCCUAUAUCCCCAAAACCUUUAGACUAGGCUUCCCAUAUUUGACCCAUCAACCCCUUUGCUGUUCUUACUCCACUUCUCAAUCAGAACCUUCUACUUCUCCUUCCACUGGGGUUUUCAUCAAAGGAUUGCCUCAGUCAACAGCUGAAGGACGUCUCAAGAAAGUGUUUUCACAGUUUGGGGAGGUUAAACAAGUCCAUGUUGUGAGGGAAAGAGUAUCCAAGCAGUCUCUAGGAUCCGCUUUCGUUUGGUUCGAUAACGAAGAGUCUGUGCAACUAGCCGUUAACGAGUUGAAUGGGAAGUUUUUUGAUGGCAGGUUCGUUUCGGUUAAAAUUGCUGUACCUGGAUUGUCGAAGAAACGGGGAAGGACAACACAGUACAAGUUCUAAACUUUCCAUGGAUCAUUUUGUGCCGACAAAAUAGCAAAAUGGCCUUGAUUUAUUGACAGAUAUGGAUAGCAUCGACAGCCUCUUGACGAUGGAUGGAGUGUCCUGGUAGGUUGGGUUCAGAGAUUUAACCUGUGGUUGGGGAUUUGUUGUUUGCUUUGCAUUUUCAUUGUAAGCUUGGUUACAAUGGGACUGUUCUCGUAAUGUUCUAUGCUGGCUUUGGCUACCAAUAUUAUGCGCCUACGCAUAAAUCAUCCUAUUUUGGGUAGCUUGCUCAGCUCAACUUGGCCUGACCUAGGCAAAAAGUUCUGGUAAAAUCACCUCUCUGGUCCUCAAUUUCGAAUUUGCCCAUUGUUAGCUUAUAAUUUAUUGAAGUAUUCGAAAUCUAAUGACCUUAAGUGUAAUUUACCCUAAAAAUUUACCUUUUCAGUCAUUGUAAGUUACAAAAUGAUUAUUGAAGUAUUCGAAAGUUUUCAUUUAAGUCAAUAGGCUGUUAAAAUCACUGCUAUAACUGCUUGUACCGAUCG